rnacentral:tRNA from 3 species
AGCAGUAUAAUGUAAUGGUAAACAUAUAAGGCUCAUGACCUUAAAAUGAUAGUUCAAUUCUAUCUGCUGCGC